rnacentral:rRNA from 1 species
AACGAACGCUGGCGGCAUGCCUAACACAUGCAAGUCGAACGAAACCUUCGGGUCUUUUGGCGCACGGCUUCGUAACCCGUGGGAACCUUCCCUUAGGUUCGGAAUAACUCCCCGAAAGGGGUACUAAUACCGGAUAAUGUCUUCGGCCCGAAGAUUUAUUGCCUUUGGUUGUUCCCGCGUUGGAUUAGAUAGUUGUUAGGGUAAAAGCAUACCACGGCGCCGAUGCAUAGAUGGUUUGAGAGGAAGAUCAGCGACACUGGGAGGAAGACACGGCCGAGAAUCCUACGGGAGGCGGCAGUGGGGAAUAUAGGAAAGUGGGGGAAAGGCUGAUCCAGUAAUGACGCGUAAGUGAUGAAGGCAUUGGGGUUGUAAAGUUCAAGUAACCGGGAUGAUAAUGACAGUACCGGGAGAAUAAGCUACGGCUAACUACGUG